CGAUCGGCCCUUUUCAGGGCCAAUAAAACGACGAGUAGAAACGUUU
rfam:Cyphomyrmex costatus contig23980, whole genome shotgun sequence.